GUGGGGAAUAUUGGACAAUGGGGGGAACCCUGAUCCAGCCAUGCCGCGUGUGUGAAGAAGGCCUUUUGGUUGUAAAGCACUUUAAGCGAGGAGGAGGCUACCGAGAUUAAUACUCUUGGAUAGUGGACGUUACUCGCAGAAUAAGCACCGGCUAACUCUGUGCCAGCAGCCGCGGUAAUACAGCGGGUGCAAGCGUUAAUCGGAUUUACUGGGCGUAAAGCGCGCGUAGGUGGCCAAUUAAGUCAAAUGUGAAAUCCCCGAGCUUAACUUGGGAAUUGCAUUCGAUACUGGUUGGCUAGAGUAUGGGAGAGGAUGGGAGAAUGCCAGGUGUAGCGGUGAAAUGCGUAGAGAUCUGGAGGAAUACCGAUGGCGAAGGCAGCCAUCUGGCCUAAUACUGACACUGAGGUGCGAAAGCAUGGGGAGCAAACAGGAUUAGAUACCCCAGUAGUCC
rnacentral:rRNA from 1 species